rnacentral:rRNA from 1 species
AACGAACGCUGGCGGCAUGCCUAACACAUGCAAGUCGAACGAGACCUUCGGGUCUAGUGGCGCACGGGUGCGUAACGCGUGGGAACCUGCCCUUAGGUUCGGAAUAACUCCCCGAAAGGGGUGCUAAUACCGGAUAAUGUCUUCGGACCAAAGAUUUAUCGCCUUUGGAUGGGCCCGCGUUGGAUUAGCUAGUUGGUAGGGUAAAAGCCUACCAAGGCGACGAUCCAUAGCUGGUCUGAGAGGAUGAUCAGCCACACUAGGACUGAGACACGGCCCAGACUCCUACGGGAAGCAGCAGUGGGGAAUAUUGGACAAUGGGCGAAAGCCUGAUCCAGCAAUGCCGCGUGAGUGAUGAAGGCCUUAGGGUUGUAAAGCUCUUUUACCCGGGAUGAUAAUGACAGUACCGGGAGAAUAAGCUCCGGCUAACUCCGUG